AUGGUUUCAUUUCUGUGUGGAUGCUCUGGUGUCUCAGAAGUGAUGAUUUGCAAGGAAAACAUUUAUCACACUCCUGGCAUUGGUAUGGCUUCUCUCCUGUGUGGAGUCUCUUGUGCCUCACCAAAUAUGAAUUGCGGGCAAAACAUUCUCCACACUCAUGGCAUUGGUAUGGCUUCUCUCCUGUGUGGAGCCUUUUGUGGUUCACCAAAUAUGAACUGGAAGCAAAACAUUUCCCACACUCUUGGCAUUGGAAUGGCUUCUCUCCUGUGUGGAGUCUUUUGUGUCUCACCAAGUCUGAACUGUAAGCAAAACAUUUCCCACACUCCUGGCAUUGGUAAGGCUUCUCUCCUGUGUGAAGUCUUUUGUGACUCACUAAGUCUGAACUGGCAGCAAAACAUUUCCCACAUUCCUGGCAUUGGUAUGGCUUUUCUCCUGUGUGGAGUCUUUUGUGCCUCACCAAGGCUGAAUUGGCCGCAAAACAUUUUCCACAUUCCUGGCAUUGGUAUGGCUCCUCUCCUGUGUGGAGUCUUUUGUGGCUCACCAAUUUUGAACUGCGGGCAAAACAUUCCCCACACUCUUGGCAUUGGUAUGGCUUCUCUCCUGUGUGGAGUCUUUUGUGGUUCACCAAAUAUGAACUGCGGGCAAAAUAUUUCCCACAUUUCUGGCAUUGGUAUGGCUUCUCUCCUGUGUGGAGUCUUUUGUGGUUCACUAAGCCUGAACUGGCAGCAAAACAUUUCCCACACUCCUGGCAUUGGUAAGGCUUCUCUCCAGUGUGGAGUCUUUUGUGCCUCACCAAAUCUGAACUGUAAGCAAAACAUUUCCCACACUCCUGGCAUUGGUAUGGCUUUUCUCCUGUGUGGAGUCUUUUGUGCCUCAGCAAACUUGUACUGGAAGAAAAACAUUUUCCACACUCCUGGCAUUGGUAUGGCUCCUCUCCUGUGUGGAGUCUCUGGUUUUCUCCGGCAUGGACGCUCUGGUGGCUCAAAAGGGAUGAGCUUUGAACAAAAGAUUUCCCAUAUUCCUUGCAUUUGUAUUGUUUCUCUCCUGUGUGGGAUCCCCAGUGUUCUAUAA
rnacentral:lncRNA from 1 species